rnacentral:rRNA from 1 species
AUUGAACGCUGGCGGCAUGCUUUACACAUGCAAGUCGAACGGUAACAGGGAGCUUGCUCCGCUGACGAGUGGCGAACGGGUGAGUAAUGCGUCGGAACGUGCCGAGUAGUGGGGGAUAACGCAGCGAAAGUUGUGCUAAUACCGCAUACGUACUGAGGUAGAAAGUGGGGGACCUUCGGGCCUCACGCUAUUCGAGCGGCCGACGUCUGAUUAGCUAGUAGGUGAGGUAAAGGCUCACCUAGGCGACGAUCAGUAGCGGGUCUGAGAGGAUGAUCCGCCACACUGGGACGGGGACACGGCCCAGCCUCCUACGGGAGGCAGCAGUGGGGAAUUUUGGACAAGGGGCGAAAGCCUGAUCCAGCCAUGCCGCGUGUCUGAAGAAGGCCUUCGGGUUGUAAAGGACUUUUGUCGGGGAGGAAAUCCCCAGCGCUAAUACCGCUGGGGGAUGACAGUACCUGAAGAAUAAGCACCGGCUAACUACGUGCCAGCAGCCGCCGUAA